AUUGAACGCUGGCGGCAUGCUUUACACAUGCAAGUCGAACGGCAGCGCGGGCUUCGGCCUGGCGGCGAGUGGCGAACGGGUGAGUAAUGCAUCGGAACGUGCCCAGUAGUGGGGGAUAGCCCGGCGAAAGCCGGAUUAAUACCGCAUACGACCUGAGGGUGAAAGCGGGGGACCGAAAGGCCUCGCGCUAUUGGAGCGGCCGAUGUCGGAUUAGCUAGUUGGUGGGGUAAAGGCUUACCAAGGCGACGAUCCGUAGCUGGUCUGAGAGGACGACCAGCCACACUGGGACUGAGACACGGCCCAGACUCCUAGGGGAGGCAGCAGUGGGGAAUUUUGGACAAUGGGGGCAACCCUGAUCCAGCCAUGCCGCGGGCGGGAAGAAGGCCUUCGGGUUGUAAACCGCUUUUGUUCGGGAAGAAAUCCUCUGGGCUAAUACCCCGGGGGGAUGACGGUACCGGAAGAAUAAGCACCGGCUAACUACGU
rnacentral:rRNA from 1 species